GGAGUUGGUAGCUCAGUGUAGUGGUAGAGUGCAUGUCUAUUUAUGAGGUCCUGGGUUCAAUCCCCAGGUGCUCCC